rnacentral:lncRNA from 1 species
AUGAACCUGUGGUUCAGCCCAGUGUUGAGCAAGCCUCAACAAGAGGAACUGCCAGCUGAGAUUCUGGAUAUCACACCUAGAAAGGAGGAAGUACAUGUAGAGGAUCCAGUGAAUCGUGAUGAAGAAGAGGAGAAGGAUCCCUUUGAAGAUUCUGGCCUGGAAGCUGAUCUCCAGCAAUUGGCUCUGGCAAAGACUGGGGGUGAAGGUGGAGAUGGUCCUGAUGUGAGGGAGGAGUUUGCAUCAAAUACAGAGCCUGUUGAAAUGCCAGAAGCAGGUAUGUCAUCCAUUCAGAAAGUAAUUUAUGUGGUUUCUGUUUUUCAGAAUAUUAUAUCUUUACUAAUAUAGAGGGAACAUUACUAUUAUUUUAAUAAUAGAGUUCACAUAUUCUUUGAAAGAUAGUUCAGACCCCAGAUGCCUGAAUGCCUGACUUAGAGACUUUCAAAUAAAGAAACAGAGAGGAUCA